UAGAGUUUGAUCCUGGCUCACCUUGAACGCUGGCGGCAUGCCUUACACAUGCAAGUCGAACGGCAGCACGGGUGCUUGCACCUGGUGGCGAGUGGCGAACGGGUGAGUAAUACAUCGGAACAUGUCCUNNNNNGGGGGAUAGCCCGGCGAAAGCCGGAUUAAUACCGCAUACGAUCUACGGAUGAAAGCGGGGGACCUUCGGGCCUCGCGCUAUAGGGUUGGCCGAUGGCUGAUUAGCUAGUUGGUGGGGUAAAGGCCUACCAAGGCGACGAUCAGUAGCUGGUCUGAGAGGACGACCAGCCACACUGGGACUGAGACACGGCCCAGACUCCUACGGGAGGCAGCAGUGGGGAAUUUUGGACAAUGGGCGAAAGCCUGAUCCAGCAAUGCCGCGUGUGUGAAGAAGGCCUUCGGGUUGUAAAGCACUUUUGUCCGGAAAGAAAUCCUGGUGGCUAAUAUCCGCCGGGGAUGACGGUACCGGAAGAAUAAGCACCGGCUAACUACGUGCCAGCAGCCGCGGUAAUACGUAGGGUGCGAGCGUUAAUCGGAAUUACUGGGCGUAAAGCGUGCGCAGGCGGUUCGCUAAGACCGAUGUGAAAUCCCCGGGCUUAACCUGGGAACUGCAUUGGUGACUGGCGGGCUAGAGUAUGGCAGAGGGGGGUAGAAUUCCACGUGUAGCAGUGAAAUGCGUAGAGAUGUGGAGGAAUACCGAUGGCGAAGGCAGCCCCCUGGGCCAAUACUGA
rnacentral:rRNA from 1 species